CAGCAGCCGCGGUAAAACGUAGGGUGCAAGCGUUGUCCGGAAUUAUUGGGCGUAAAGAGCUCGUAGGCGGUUAGUCACGUCGGCUGUGAAAACCUGGGGCUCAACCCCGGGCCUGCAGCCGAUACGGGCUGACUAGAAUUCGGCAGGGGAGACUGGAAUUCCUGGUGUAGCGGUGAAAUGCGCAGAUAUCAGGAGGAACACCGGUGGCGAAGGCGGGUCUCUGGGCCGAUAUUGACGCUGAGGAGCGAAAGCGUGGAGAGCAAACAGGAUUAGAUACCCGCGUAGUCCCUGUCUCUUAUAC
rnacentral:rRNA from 1 species